AGACGUCUACAUUAGAUACCCCGGUAGUCCCAGCCCUAAACGGUGCGCGUUAGGUGUAUCGGUGACCACGAGUCACCGAGGUGCCGAAGGGAAACCGUGAAACGUGCCGCCUGGGAAGUACGGUCGCAAGGCUGAAACUUAAAGGAAUUGGCGGGGGAGCACAACAACGGGUGGAGCUUGCGGUUUAAUUGGAUUCAACGCCGGAAAUCUUACCGGGACCGACAGCAACAUGAAGGCCAAGCUGAAGACUUUGCCGGAUUAGCUG
rnacentral:rRNA from 1 species